rnacentral:rRNA from 1 species
CGGAGGGGAAACACCCGGUCCCAUCCCGAACCCGGAAGUUAAGCCCUUCAGCGCCGAUGGUACUGCAUGGGAGACUGUGUGGGAGAGUAGGACACCGCCGGAC